GGUUGUGUUAAUGUUCCCUCGACAUCGGCGUGGGUGGGAACCGCAGUUGGGGACUCCAGGGUUGGGGCAGGACAUUGGCCUUUGCUGAGCUGACGUAUCCAUCCGGCACCGGGAGCGGACCGGGCCGUGCAUGAGGCAGAUCUCCAGCGGGGAGCUGGAGGGAGGCAGGGAUCGAGACUUGCUGGGGUCGCUCUGCAGUUUAAUUGCACCUCCCCAGACAGCGAUCUGGGACUCACUGAGUGCAACAAAUCACGGAGCCUGUGAGUCCAGGUGCUGGCUGCCCCCCGGAGCCGCGGAGCAGGAGGAUGUGGGUGCCAGGAGCCAGCCAGAUGCCCCCUUCCACCAAGCUCUGCAUUGAAAUCAUCCUCGCACUGCUCUGCCAGGAGAAGUUUGCAGCUCCAUCAGAUGCAGAAGCAGCAUCUCUUUGGGGUCCAAUUGACAAGCUUUUAUCUCUUCUGAGAUGUGGGUUGUCAGAGAUGGGGCCGAUAUGUCAUCUAUAACCUGAACAUCUAGAAGUGCAUCUACUGGCCUCCCACGGCCAUCAGGAGAACGUUCGCAGUGACUUAGUACGUGACACCCAUUUGCACGGUGCAUUUCUCAGCCAUGUCUGCACGUUGUCUGACUGCGGGGAGAGAGUUCUUCACUUCCCAGCUCCUGCGUCUUUCAAACCCAGCGUCCACAUUCAGCGUUAACAAGUGACAGUGCACUUCACGUGGCCUCCCGUUGGGGUGUGACACAAACUGCGCUGUGUCUCCAGCAUUAAGUGCUUCUAAAUCUGCCUGUGCCCAUGACUGGCUCAGAGGUUUCCUGCAGACCAGACGCUUGGUGUUUUGCAGCCCUUUCACUGGGCUCGUCAGCCCUGGCUUUGUGAUGGGCCUGGCAAACCAAGCGCCUCCACUUUUCCCCGCUGUAGCAGCGAGACGCUUUCCUUCCGCGUAAGCUUUGUGGCCAGAGGUGCACCAGGGGCUUCCUUUGCACGGUCACUAAAUAGGAAACGUUUGAGCGACAAACAUGGAGAACAGCCCUUAGGUUGCGGUUUCUUCAGUAGGUAGCUUGGUUUGUGCUUCGGGCUGUUGGGACGUCGAUAAACCACGUGAAGCUGCAGAUGGCGGGUUGGUGCAGUUUGGUUCCUGGUAUGUUCCUCCCCUUAGUUGGUUUCAACACUGUGGAGGGUUGGGGGAUUUCAGGGUGGCCGCACCCCUCCUUGUGGGGGAGGGAAAUCCCUGAUACUGGACAAAUAAUUUAUGGUUUGGGGAACUAAAGGGGCUCUGGCAGAGCUGUGGGGAG